GAGGUCUUGACACUUCCCCUGACCGCGUAUGAAAGUUACGUUUUCACCCUCGGGUGACAGGGAGACAGGUGGUGCAUGGUUGUCGUCAGCUCGUGUCGUGAGAUGUUGGGUUAAGUCCCGCAACGAGCGCAACCCCUACGUUUAGUUGCUAACGCGUGAAGGCGAGCACUCUAGACGAACUGCCGUUGACAAAACGGAGGAAGGUGGGAUGACGUCAAAUCAUCAUGCCCCUUAUGUUCUGGGCUACACACGUGCUACAAUGGCCGGUACAGACGGACGCAAAGCCGCGAGGUGGAGCAAAUCCUAAAAAGCCGGUCUCAGUUCGGAUUGCAGGCUGCAAUUCGCCUGCAUGAAGUCGGAAUCGCUAGUAAUCGCAGGUCAGCAUACUGCGGUGAAUACGUUCCCGGGCCUU
rnacentral:rRNA from 1 species